rnacentral:rRNA from 1 species
UAAGGAAUCUUCCACAAUGGACGAAAGUCUGAUGGAGCAACACCGCGUGGUUGACGACGCCUUUAGGGGUGUAAAGACCUUUUCUGAGAGAAGAACUCUGACGGUAUCUUAGGAAUAAGCACCGGCCAACUCCGUGCCAGCAGCCGCGGUAAUACGGAGGGUGCAAGCGUUAUCCGGAAUCAUUGGGCGUAAAGCGUUCGCAGGCGGUUUGUUAAGUUAGGUGUUAAAUUUUACAGCUCAACUGUGAAACUAUACCUAAAACUGGCAAACUAGAGUACUGCAGAGGUAUGCGGAAUUCUGUGUGUAGGGGUAAAAUCCGUAGAUACAUAGAGGAACACCAAAAGCGAAGGCAGCAUACUGGGCAGUUACUGACGCUCAGGAACGAAAGCGUGGGGAGCGAACG